GACGAACGCUGGCGGCGUGCCUAAUACAUGCAAGUCGGACGCAGUCGCGAACGGGUGAGUAACGCGUAGGUAACUACCUAUUAGAGGGGGAUAACUAUUGGAAACGAUAGCUAAUACCGCAUACUAGUAGAUGGACCUGCGUUGUAUUAGCUAGGAGGUAGGGUAAUGGCCUACCUAGGCAACGAUACAUAGCCGACCCUGGAGGGUGGACGGCCCAACUGGGGAUGGGACCCGGCCCCGACUCCUACCGGGGGCAGCAGUAGGGAAUCUUCGGGAAUGGGGGGAACCCUUGCCGAGCAACGCCGCGUGGUUGAAGGAGGUUUUCGGAGCGUAAAGCUCUGUUGUUUAGGGAGCGGUACUUAACCAGAAAGGGACGGCUAACUACGUGCCAGCAGCCGCGGUAAUUC
rnacentral:rRNA from 1 species